UUUGGAGAUACUUAACUGGAUGGAAACUCAACAUUGUUCUCAGAUGUUACGUCAUGAUUAUGCCAGGCGACUGGAAUUAACUGUUAAAGAACACGGUAGAAUAGAAGCUGAAAGAUAUUUUGAGAGUUUAACAAGCACUAUUUCGCUGAAAGCUGCUUCCCUCCCUCUUCUUCAUUGUUAUGUUGAAGAAAGGUCCACUGAGAAGGCUGAAGCUUUCAUGCUAAAGAUAAAUAAGUUGG
rnacentral:misc_RNA from 1 species